rnacentral:rRNA from 1 species
UACGGGGGGAGCAAGCGUUGUUCGGAUUUACUGGGCGUAAAGGGCGCGUAGGCGGCGUGACAAGUCACUUGUGAAAUCUCCGGGCUUAACUCGGAACGGUCAAGUGAUACUGUCGUGCUAGAGUACAGAAGGGGCAACUGGAAUUCUCGGUGUAGCGGUGAAAUGCGUAGAUAUCAGGAAGAACACCCGUGGCUAAGGCGGCUCUCUAGUACGGUACUGACGCUGAGACGCGAAAGCGUGGGGAGCGAACAGG